AUUGAACGCUGGCGGCAGGCCUAACACAUGCAAGUCGAGCGGAGCGGCGGACGGGGGAGUAAUGCCGAGGAAUCUGCCUGGUAGUGGGGGAUAACGUACGGAAACGGGCGCCAAUCUCCCAUCCUAUCAGAUGAGCCUAGGUAGGGUUAGCUAGUUGGUGGGGUAAAGGCCUACCAAGGCGACGAGCCGUAACUGGGCUGAGAGGAUGAUCAGUCAAACUGGAACUGAGACACGGUCCAGACUCCUACGGGAGGCAGCAGUGGGGAAUAUUGGACAAUGGGCGAAAGCCUGAUCCAGCCAUGCCGCGUGUGUGAAGAAGGUCUUCGGAUUGUAAAGCACUUUAAGUUGGGAGGCGUUACCAACAGAAUAAGCACCGGCUAACUUCGUGCCAGCAGCCGCGGUAAUUC
rnacentral:rRNA from 1 species